AUCAUCUAGGGAUCUUGUUAAAAAGCAGAUUCUAAUUCACUGAGUCUGGGAUAGAAGCUGAGAUUCUACAUUUCUAAUUAGCUCUCAAGUGAUACUAG
rnacentral:pre_miRNA from 1 species